GUUCUUCUAGCCUCUAGGUUACCCUCAUCCAUAGGAAUCACAUCUGCAUUCCUGUAACUGCAUAAGGAGAAAGAAGGUGGAAGCUGAGGAUGCUAUGAAAACCCCUUGAGGAAACAAAGGCACCUUGGGGGCCAUUGAGAACUCCUGACGAAGAGGGCUCAGCUGCCAGACCUGCUCAAGAAAGACCUCAGAAAUCUCUAUGGGGCUGUCAGAAGAAAAGGUUUGAAAAGGGUCUGGAGAGACUGAAAUUUGUCUGCCUUGGACUUUUCUUUUGACAAUUCACAUCCAACUUAAGCAGAAUCAUUGUUUAUUCUUAUUAUGCCAGGUUUCCUUUUCUGGUCUGCAGGUUCUCUAGGGUUUCAUAGGCUAGUAGUUGGAAUUUUCAUAUUUCCAAAGCAUUGGGGAUUUUGCAAAAACAAAAUCUAAAGGAUAUUCAGCAGCACAGUUUACUUAGGAGGUUUUAAUCAUAAUAAUCUGCAUAAUGUAUGAGAAUUUCUACCUCA
rnacentral:lncRNA from 1 species